rnacentral:rRNA from 1 species
GACGUAGGGCGCGAGCGUUGUCCGGAUUUAUUGGGCGUAAAGAGCUCGUAGGCGGCUUGUCGCGUCGACCGUGAAAACUUGGGGCUCAACCCCCAAGCCUGCGGUCGAUACGGGCAGGCUCGAGUUCGGUAGGGGAGACUGGAAUUCCUGGUGUAGCGGUGAAAUGCGCAGAUAUCAGGAGGAACACCGAUGGCGAAGGCAGGUCUCUGGGCCGAUACUGACGCUGAGGAGCGAAAGCGUGGGGAGCGAACAGG